ACCGAGCGUUGUCCGGAAUCAUUGGGCGUAAAGAGCGUGUAGGCGGCCUUUUAAGUCCUGCGUGAAAUCCUGCGGCUCAACCGCAGGCGGUCGUGGGAAACUGGAAGGCUAGAGUGCGGGAGAGGAGAGUGGAAUUCCCGGUGUAGCGGUGAAAUGCGCAGAUAUCAGGAAGAACACCCGUGGCGAAGGCGGUUCUCUGGGACGGUACUGACGCUGAGACGCGAAAGCGUGGGGAGCGAACAGG
rnacentral:rRNA from 1 species